rnacentral:lncRNA from 1 species
GUUUUCUACUGUUGCUAUGUGUAGGUUUCAAUGUAAGAAACUUACACUAAUAUGAAGUUAUUUCACUUCAGUGCCCGGCAGGAGCCCAUCCUCUUUUUCUGCUUUUUCAUAUCUAGCAUGCUAAAACUUCUGAGGCUAAUACCAGUAAACACCCAGUGAUCUGGAGUUUCUGAGACUGGGGUGGGAUUCUUAGGUCAAGUAGAUCAUACAUAUAUGAUGAUCUUAAAUAGACAUUUAUGUAGGUUGAAAGGCAUUAGUUUCAGAGCUGAAGAGCUUCAUGGAGAAGUGUGAAGAGGAGGGAUUAUCAAUUUAGGCUUUUGUUCUGUGGUGUGCCUACACUAUAGAAACUAAGCUGAUGUGUGAAAGUAAGUCAGGAAGUUUUGACUAGGGAGCUUGGCUGAUCAGAGCCAAAUGCAAAGAGAGCUAAGUAAAGCGACAAAUGAGCUGGAGAAGUGUGUUGCAACUGGUGUUACUGCUGGAAGAAAAGUGGGACUGGCAACUGGCAUCAAUAACAUCUUAAACUACUGAGAACAGAGCCACCAGCGGUGACUGGUCAAAACCCUGUGACACACGAAGAAUUGCAGUGGAAGCAACUAAAACCCAACAAGUAUAAUGUGGACAACCCUAUUCCAGUUCUGUGUGCCUUUGGGUAAAAAUUUAUAUCAGCUUGAGGUUUUAGCUGUAAUAUUUGGUUUAUCUACCCACUAUUUUAAAGGUGCUAAGGAUUUGAGUCUGAGCACUGAGAAGUUUACGGUGGGUGUUGUACCAAAUGCAGAUCAUCUGUACAUCCCUUACUUAAUGAGCUCCUUGCUGUUCAGAAGCCUCAGGCCUUGGUGGAACCUGCAUCUUUCCUUUUCACCGCUGGGAGAUCACACUUGUUUCAGCUCUCAAAAGUAAAAAUGUUUUUGUUUAACUCCAUUUGUUGGCCUUAGCAUAAACUAUCUGGGUAAAACUUAAUGGGUUGCAAAUGCAGGAAGCUGGAAUGCAUGAUAUAAAGGUCUCAACUGGUCUUAAAACUUGCAGACUGUCUUGCAGUUAUAUGUCUAGUCCCUCUUAGAAAUGUGUUUUUCUUGUGUAUUUAUGUGAUACCUCAAUUAUUUUAUUAAAAGGAAGAAGAAAUUGUAAUACACUGCCUGUGAAGGCUGUGAAAAUAUUGGUAAUAUUAAGAGUUUCAAAGAACUUUUUAAUUCAUUCUUUAGGACACAAACUAAAUCUGUCAGCAACUUAAUAGCCAUCCUGCUUUCACAUUAUGUCAUCCCAUACGGCACAUGAAUUAUAUAUUUGCAUUAUGCAACUCUAACAUAUAAUAUUUAUACAAUCUGUUUCCCCCAUUGGUUACUUAGUUUUAUAGUCCCCUAUUUAAAUUAAAUUUAGCUGUUAAAUACAUGUUACUGAAUUUCUUACUAUCACUUCAUCUGUGGCAUGGAAAAACAAUAAUGGAUCUUUUUUAAAAAACAACAAAUAUAUACAAAAAAAGAAAAACUUAAACAGGAAGCUCACUACCUGUUUAGGAAUCUAAAACACUCCCUGCUCCAAAGCCAAAAUAUUAAUAUUCAUAGCUCUUACAGGUAAGAUUUUUGUCAGUAGGCUGUGUUUGCCCACAUUGAUUAAGCCCCUUCCUCAAUACCAUACAUUUUGAAUUUGUUUAUACUUAUUAAACUCUUUCCCCCGUAUCAUACAUAUAGAGUUUGCCCAUAUUUAUUAAACACUUUCCACAAUACCAUAUAUUUUGAGUAAAAAAGAUUUAAAUGUGACUUUUAAAUAAAAAAUGAAUGCAUGGAUUAAAAUGUAUGCA